AAUAGAUAAGAUGGUUGUUGAUGUAAGUAGGAUGUUUGAAGAUCUCUUUCUUUUCUGUUCCUAGGUGUUUUCUGAAUUUUUAAUUUUUAAUUUUUGAAUAUUAUGCUUGGAUAUUUUGUUUCCAUAAAAAAGUGGAUUUUGCUCCAUGCAGUGGAAAUUUAUUGUGUUGCUUUGUCUUAGAUAGGCUCCAGUUGUGUGCAUUUAUGGAGUCAAUGGCUUUAUCCUUGAACAUGGAGGUCUCCAUAUUAUAAUCUACGUCCACUUGUUUGUGUUUUCCAGGUUUCUAAAGAAUUUUUCCCUGAU
rnacentral:misc_RNA from 1 species